CCCGCGCUAGCUCUCCAGCCCGCUGGAGGGACGCGUCCAGGGUAUUCACUAGAUCCAGCCGCUGGCCCCUUGAAUCUGCUCCCCCUCAGCAGCGGUGGCGCGGAGGGCAGGAGGUGUCUGGUCAGCGGGUAUCGGAGGAUCGUGCGGGUAGCAAAGGGAUGGCGAGUGCCCCUGCAGCCCCAGACAACAACCAGGUGUCCUUUUUCUCUGGAUGCUUUGAAGAUCCUUCUUUGAUUAUUGCUUGAUGCUAAAAGCUUUUUGUUGUCAUUCUCUAUAUGUUCCUUUAUUUAUGAAUGGAAAAAGU